rnacentral:rRNA from 1 species
UACGAAGAGGGCUAGCGUUGUUCGGAUUUACUGGGCGUAAAGCGCGCGUAGGCGGAUUGUUAAGUCAGGGGUGAAAUCCUGGAGCUCAACUCCAGAACUGCCUUUGAUACUGGCGAUCUCGAGUCCGGGAGAGGUGAGUGGAACUGCGAGUGUAGAGGUGAAAUUCGUAGAUAUUCGCAAGAACACCAGUGGCGAAGGCGGCUCACUGGCCCGGUACUGACGCUGAGGUGCGAAAGCGUGGGGAGCAAACAGG